rnacentral:lncRNA from 1 species
CACACUGUGUGCCUCUGUGUGUGUUUCUGUGCAGGUCAAAGUUCCAUCAACUUCUUGUUCAACUUUGUGGAGGCCUUUGGCGGAGCACAUGGAGAUUUUAGCCUAAAACAGAGUCGUCCAUCCGUUGGUAUGUUCAAAGCACUCCAAUAGUGCUUGUUAAUAAGGUGCAGCUGAAGGGGUAUAUCUUAAUCUGUACAUGACUGAUAUUUGGACGUAGGGGACAGAAAGCAGCACCACCUUGAUUCCAUCUAUUGUAAGAUUUUUGUUUGUUUGUUUGUGACCACUGAAUAAUCAAUUGUCUUUCCAAAACAGGUAAGAACGCCACCCUCUUGAUGUCAGUAACAGGAAGUGAUUCAUUGAGGGUGACUGAGGUGGCUCUGGUGCCUGUCUCUGGAUCUGGGGCUGUAAAUGGAACCGUGGAGGCAUUAGGAGGUGAGGACUUCCUGGUAACGGUAGAUGAACUGCCAGUGGAAAACUUCAUCAUCCAUCUGAGGGGGGAAACCAGUGGGGCCUCCCGGUCCUCCCCCAUCCUCUUCCUUAGGCAGUCCUCUACACAGCUCAGGGCCUCCAGGGUGGCUGUGACGGCCUCAGUAAACAGCACUUUGGAACCAGGAGCGACCAUUACUGUGCCCUUCACAGUGGAAACCAACACCACAGCAGGUAACUAUACCAUCCGAGCGAGGAAUGAUCGUGGCUUCAACGUGACUUACCCGAGCAGUGUAACUCUGGAGGCUGGAGGCCGUGCUGAGGGCACAGUGUCGCUCACAGCUCCGUCAGACACCCCUUCAGGCACCGACGUCACGCUGACCAUCGAGGCAGAAGCUCCUGGAGCCACCGACUCCAACUAUGUUGUCAUUCGCUUUGCUGUCGCCACUAAGGUGACUGACUUCACCCGUCCUGUUUGCCAAGUGGACCUCACUGCCAACUGUCCACAAGACUGCAGCCAGGCUACGUGGCAGCUCUCUGCCAACCUGACUGAUGGCAAUGGGACAGGCAUUGUUCUUGUAACACUCCAGCAGGGCAAUGGCACCCUCAACACCAGCUCCUAUGGCGCAGGCAUCACUUUUGCGUCCUACAACGCCUCCUGCUGUUCUGAGGUGGUAGAACUGGUCAUGGUUGACGACGUGGGCAAUGCUGGUGUCUGCUCUGCCUCUAUUAGAGGCCUCUCCUCUGCUACCACCCCUCAGACUCCCACAGCCAACGCCACAGUGACGCAGAUAGCCACCACCCCUCAGACUCCCGUAGCCACCACCACAGUAACGCAGAUAGCCACCACCUCUCAAACUCCCAUAGCCACCACCUCCAGUGCUGGGCACUGCCUUAACCUCUCCAUCUGGCUGUGGCCCAUAGUUAUGCUCCCAC